rnacentral:rRNA from 1 species
UGGGGAAUUGUUCGCAAUGGGCGCAAGCCUGACGACGCAACGCCGCGUGGAGGAUGAAGGUCUUCGGAUUGUAAACUCCUGUUGCCAGGGACGAAAAGCUCCGACCUAACACGUCGGAGUCUGACGGUACCUGGUGAGGAAGCCCCGGCUAACUCUGUGCCAGCAGCCGCGGUAAUACAGAGGGGGCUAGCGUUGUUCGGAAUUACUGGGCGUAAAGGGCGCGUAGGCGGCCCGCUAAGUCGAACGUGAAAUCCCCGGGCUCAACCCGGGAACUGCGUCCGAUACUGGCAGGCUUGAAUCCGGGAGAGGGAUGUGGAAUUCCAGGUGUAACGGUGAAAUGCGUAGAUAUCUGGAGGAACACCGGUGGCGAAGGCGGCAUCCUGGACCGGUAUUGACGCUGAGGCGCGAAAGCCAGGGGAGCAAACGGG